AUGGAUCCUCGGUAGGCGAGGCGUCCGCGCGGCAAAUAGGCCACUGCCCUGAAGCGUCCAAAGAUGCUAGGCAGGGUGUACCAGGGACUCCCGGGUUAAGGGUUUCUCUAAUGUGGCUGAGGUCGAAAGGCCUCUCACGGCGUGCGGUGCUGAAGCUUGGACCAGUGGGGGAAUCC
rnacentral:sRNA from 1 species